AGAGUUUGAUCAUGGCUCAGGACGAACGCUGACGGUGUGCUUUAGGCAUGCAAGUCGAACGAGAAAGCCCUUCGGGGUGAGUAAAGUGGCGAACGGGUGAGUAACACGUGGGCAACCUGCCCCUCGCAGGGGGACAACCGGAGGAAACUCCGGCUAAUACCCCGUACGCUUGUUGGAUCGCAUGGUCCGGCAAGGAAAGGUAGCUUCGGCCAUCCGGCGAGGGAUGGGCCCGCGUUGCAUUAGCUAGUUGGUGGGGUAACGGCCUACCAAGGCGACGAUGCGUAGCUGGUCUGAGAGGAUGAUCAGCCACACUGGGACUGAGACACGGCCCAGACUCCUACGGGAGGCAGCAGCCAGGAAUCUUGGGCAAUGGGCGAAAGCCUGACCCAGCAACACCGUGUGGGUGACGAAGGCCUUAGGGUCGUAAAGCCCUGUUGAUAGGGACGAAGGGCGAAGGGUUAAUAGCCCCUAGCUUGACGGUACCUUUCGAGGAAGCCCCGGCUAACUACGUGCCAGCAGCCGCGGUAAUACGUAGGGGGCGAGCGUUGUCCGGAAUUAUUGGGCGUAAAGAGCGUGUAGGCGGUUCGGUAAGUCUGCUGUGAAAUCCUGGGGCUCAACCCUGGGCGUGCAGCGGAUACUGCCGGGCUAGAGGGUGGUAGAGGCGAGUGGAAUUCCGAGUGUAGCGGUGAAAUGCGCAGAUAUUCGGAAGAACACCAGUGGCGAAGGCGACACACUGGCCCAAUACUGACGCUGAGGCGCGAAAGCGUGGGGAGCAAACAGGAUUAGAUACCCCAGUAGUCC
rnacentral:rRNA from 1 species